rnacentral:rRNA from 1 species
CGGCGAGUGAAGCGGGAUGAGCUCAAAUUUGAAAGCUGGCAGCAAUGUCCGCGUUGUAAUCUCGAGAGAUGUUUUCCGCGUUGGACCACGUACAAGUUCCUUGGAAUAGGAUGUCAUAGAGGGUGAAAAUCCCGUACUUGAUGUGGACGCCCAGUGCUUUGUGAUACGUCUUCGAAGAGUCGAGUUGUUUGGGAAUGCAGCUCAAAAUGGGUGGUAAAUUCCAUCUAAAGCUAAAUAUUGGGGAGAGACCGAUAGCGAACAAGUACCGUGAGGGAAAGAUGAAAAGCACUUUGGAAAGAGAGUUAAACAGUACGUGAAAUUGUCAAAAGGGAAGCAUUUGAAGUCAGACGUGUAUUGCAGUAUUCAGCCUUGCUUUUGCUUGGUGUAUUUGCUGUAUUACAGGCCAACAUCAGUUUUGAGUGACGGAUAAGGGUAGAGAGAAUGUGGCAUCCUCGGAUGUGUUAUAGCUCUUUACUGGAUACGUCGUUUGGGACUGAGGAACGCAGCGCGCCGCAAGGCAGACCCUCGGGUACUUUCGCGCUUAGGAUGUUGGCGUAAGGCUUUA